UACGGAGGGGGCUAGCGUUGUUCGGAAUUACUGGGCGUAAAGCGCACGUAGGCGGAUUGUUAAGUCAGAGGUGAAAGCCCAAGGCUCAACCUUGGAAUUGCCUUUGAUACUGGCAGUCUUGAGUCCGAGAGAGGUGAGUGGAAUUCCGAGUGUAGAGGUGAAAUUCGUAGAUAUUCGGAGGAACACCAGUGGCGAAGGCGGCUCACUGGCUCGGUACUGACGCUGAGGUGCGAAAGCGCGGGGAGCAAACAGG
rnacentral:misc_RNA from 1 species